GACGAACGCUGGCGGCAUGCUUAACACAUGCAAGUCGAACGAGAAUCUGCGGAUCGAGGAUUCGUCCAAGUGAAGCAGAGGACAGUGGCGGACGGGUGAGUAACGCGUGAGGAACCUGCCUUUCAGAGGGGGACAACAGUUGGAAACGACUGCUAAUACCGCAUAACGCGUAGAGGUCGCAUGGCCUUUACGCCAAAGAUUUAUCGCUGAAAGAUGGCCUCGCGUCUGAUUAGCUAGUUGGUGAGGUAACGGCCCACCAAGGCGACGAUCAGUAGCCGGACUGAGAGGUUGAACGGCCACAUUGGGACUGAGAUACGGCCCAGACUCCUACGGGAGGCAGCAGUGGGGAAUAUUGGGCAAUGGGCGCAAGCCUGACCCAGCAAUGCCGCGUGAAGGAGAAGGCUUUCGGGUUGUAAACUUCUUUUGUCAGGGACGAGCAGAAGACGGUACCUGACGAAUAAGCCACGGCUAACUACGUGCCAGCAGCCGCGG
rnacentral:rRNA from 1 species